GUCCAGACUCCUACGGGAGGCAGCAGUAGGGAAUUUUCGUCAAUGGGCGCAAGCCUGAACGAGCAAUGCCGCGUGAACGAGGAAGGUCUUCGGAUCGUAAAGUUCUGUUGACGGGGAAAAAAGACCGGGAAAGGAAAUGAUCCCGGAGGAGAUAUUACCCGUCGAGGAAGUCACGGCUAACUACGUGCCAGCAGCCGCGGUAAUACGUAGGGGGUAAGCGUUAUCCGGAUUCACUGGGUGUAAAGGGAGCGUAGACGGCGGCGCAAGUCUGGAGUGAAAGCCCGGGGCCCAACCCCGGGACUGCUCUGGAAACUGCGGCACUGGAGUACGGGAGGGGCAGGCGGAAUUCCUGGUGUAGCGGUGAAAUGCGUAGAUAUCAGGAGGAACACCGGCGGCGAAGGCGGCCUGCUGGACCGUGACUGACGUUGAGGCUCGAAAGCGUGGGGAGCAAACAGGAUUAGAUACCCUAGUA
rnacentral:rRNA from 1 species